rnacentral:rRNA from 1 species
UGCGUAGGCGGACUAAUAAGUCAGUGGUGAAAUCUUUCGGCUUAACCGAGAAACUGCCAUUGAAACUGUUAGUCUUGAGUUCGGUUGAGGUAGGCGGAAUGUGUAAUGUAGCGGUGAAAUGCUUAGAUAUUACACAGAACACCAAUUGCGUAGGCAGCUUACUAGACCGACACUGACGCUGAGGCACGAAAGCGUGGGGAGCGAACAGGAUUAGAUACCCUGGUAGUCC